GAAAAAAUUCUAUUUUUGACGAUUUUGGAAAUUUUUAAAAAUCUUGAGCGACCUCUAAAAAAAUUUGUUUGAGCUAAUUUUUUGAGGGGGUUCUUAAAACUUGAUAAACUAACAUAUUUUCACAAGAGACAAGAAAAAAAAUAUUCGUUUUUUUUGGGCCACACGGUUUUAAAAAUGAAGCAGCAUUUUUCUCAUCCAAAUUUAAGAAUGCUUUAUUCUAUAAACACUUGCUUUUUGAAGGAAGAUAAUAAAAUGGAAUUUUGUGUUCACAGUGCAUGAAUAAAAUGAUAUUCAAUGUGAAAAAAAAAUCAUUCUCAGUUCAAACCGAUUACAUAGAUGCCAAGUAUAUUGGUUACAUUUUCUUCAAAAAUUAUAUGCCAAUUAGAAGAAAUAUUUUUGAAGUAUCAAUUUUAUUUUGAACUUGACCUUUUUUGCCGUUUUGGUAGAAAUAAGCAAUUUGGAACGGUAAUAAUGUUUAGAAAAAUUUACCGUUGUACAGGGUGUUAUAUGACAACAUGUAAAAAACGGAGUAUUUUCGUUGCCUACAUUUACAAAUAUUUUUUAUAUAACAUAUGCUCUUGAAGCGUUCGUUUAUGAGAUACAGGGUGUUAAACUGUAAAAAGUCAGCGAAUCCAUCAGAAGAUAUAUCAAAAAUUGUAUUGAAGUGCAUAAAUGUCAUUUUUAAUAGUAUUUGCAUUCCAAAACGGAAAACAAAAUCCAAAGGAAAAUAUUACUAACACACACCACUGAGUUAAGACUUAAAUUUUUCGCAUUGAAUACAAUUUUCAUGGAUUGUGCACACAUAAUUUCAAAAAAUGUAGAAAUACACAUUUUUCUUUUAAUUUUCAAACCGAAUAACGGGCUUCGAGGGUAAAUGUUUAUACCGGCUGUCCCAUUUUAAUUGAUACCCGUAAAUAUCUCGUCAGAGAAGCCAUCAAUCGAAAAAUGGCCUAGAGGAAAAGUUGUUCACUUCAUUGGGGGAAACCAGCAUUGCUGCUUACCUAAGAUUAGACCUUGACCUCACCUUGACCUUUUGAGGGUCAAUUGAAGGUCAAAUUGGGGUCAAGGUCAUAACGAGUUUAAAUGACACCCUUAAAGCAGCCUCGGAAUAAGAUGUUGACCUCCAGAAUCGAUGGGAUUUACAUCAAUGUACUCAAUCAGGACCUUCGAUUCGUCCUUAACUUCCACUUUGUCAAGGUCAUUUGAAGGUCGACUAUAGCAAUUGUAGGAAAAAAUAAUGCUACGAACGAGUGAGGGGAGAAUGAUAAAAAUAUCUUGUUACUCAACGAAGGUAUAACUUCCAUUGAGAAUUGAAAAAAGAGCUAUAUGGGUACGUUACAAAGUAAAACUGACUGACGGUGAAAAAUUGAGAAAAAAUUAAAAUAUCACACCACUAUUUGUGGGCCAUUGAAUUAUGUUGUCAUUACGUUAGUAUUCUGGAUUUAAAUCUUCAGUUCAUCUUGAAAUGAACUUUUUUUUAAUCCCUUAUUUUGCAGCGUACUUGGAUACAAAUUUACCGUUUUCCCAAGAUCUGAUCUAAGUAAUACACGGCCGGGCAGAAAACAAAACAAAGUUAACCUUCAAAUUCAAUCCCGAACAUCUUUCGCAAUGUUUGUUGAGGUGAAGGUCGAUUUUUAUUGUCGCCCUUCAAAUGACCUUGACAAAGUGGAGGUCAAGGACGAAUCGAAGGUCGUGAUUGAGUACCUUGAUGUAAAUGCCAUCGUUUCUGGAGCUCAACAUCUUAUUCCGAGACUGCUUCAAGGGUAAUGAAUCAUUUAAACCCGUUGUGACCUUGAUCUCAAAGUCAAAGUUGUGAUCACAUCCGGAUGUAAAAUUUUCUGCUGAAUCCAUUACCAAGGUUAAAAAUAGGAGAUCCCUUUUAAAAUUCCGAAGAAAAAUAUCCUUAAAUUUGAGGGCAGAAUUUGCACCUUGGUUUUUUACAUGAUCUAUUGUCACACCCUGUAUCUCAUAAAUUAUAUUUGAAAAUAUUUAAGGUAUUGUUAGAAGCAGCAAUUUUUUUUUAUGAAAAUUUGUUGCAUUAGAGAAAUUUUAUUUUUAGGCAAACAUGGCAUUAGUGAAAAGUGUGUUUUUAUUGAAAAUUUUUUAAAUAAUUUAUCAAAAAAUUCAAGUACGUUUUUAUAUCUUAACUAUAUUACGUUUGUUUACUCGAUUUUUAUACUUGUAGGUAGUCCAAAACUGUAAAGCAGUACCUUUGCGAUACAAUUCGGUGGAUAAUUCUUAGAUUUUAUUCUUCAGAAAAAAAUUCAAGCUGUGUGCUUAUCUAUUAUAUGUCAGAUACGGUUAACGUAACGGUAAAUCGAAACGAUAAAUGCUUGUAUAUUUUGUUGAGACCCGUUUCUUAAAUUAGUCGUCACGAUAGGAAUCCUAUUUAUUUAAUUUAAACGUGUAAUUGUACUCCUGUCUUGCUUUGAUUACCUUUGAACGACUGCUGCCCUCUUGGAAUUGUAAUGAUAACUAUUAUUAAUUGAAUUGAAAUAAAAGAAGUACCAUAUUUUUGUCGGGUUUUCGACUGACUCUCAAGAAGCUACCUUCGCGUUAACUGAUAUCUGGUCUUGUUACAAAAUAUAUUAUCUUGAAAUAGCAUGUAUCUUUAAAAGAAUAUUCCAACCAGCCUCCUUCAAUCAAAUAUUUAUAUUGUAAAGGAUCUAUAUACGUAGUGUUAGGAAAAAGCAAAGUAAAAAGAUAUAAGAUUAUUAUAAAGAGGAAAACAGUUUUCUGUCUAGUCACUAUUGAUAAAAAAUAUUGUUGAUUGUUGUAACUUAAUAUUUAUUGAUGGUUUUUAACAAAAAGAAACCAUGAAGUUCGGUUUGGGAUAUUUCCGUUUCUGUUCCGAAGGUUUUAAAGAUAUCGAUAUCUCGUUUUGCCCAUAAAAUAAAUUCUUGAAUGUUUAUCCAACAGCCUUUUUAUUCCGUGCUCUCUCAGCCUAGGGAUUGUCGAGAGUUUUUUGAAAGACUUGUAGAAGUAGAGUUAUUUAUAGGGAUAUGUUCCGUUUUUACAGAGGUUUUGAAAAAUUGAAAAAUUUGUAAAUUGUUGGUAUUGCUGGUUGUUAUUAGUAAAUAAAUG